CUUUGCCUCCUGCGCUCCUCUCCUUCCCCCCGGCCGCCGCCGCCAGCAGUGCAGUCCCUCCUGCACGCAUGCUCUGGUUCACCAAAGGGAGAUUCUGAAUUUUUUAUCACGCUCAUAAUCAUCAUCAUGAUGCUCCUUAUCAUGGUUACCAUUUCCUCCUGCCAGGUGGAGCGACCACCAGCGCCUUCUCGCCGCCCGCCCCUUCCUCAGCGAAGGAAGCAAUUCGGGCCCAGGCGGCCGCUCCCUGGAUGCGGACUUCCUUUGCCUCUCCGCAGCCCUCCCUCAUUCAUCCGCGUGUAUAUUAUCUUGAUCCCUUUUAUUCCAGUAGAUCUACUGCCUUUCGUUGGGCUGGCUGAAACGCUGCGGACUGAGACCAGUCUCUUCAAAAGGAAGAACAUAAAGAGGAAGACCUUGAGUGGACCCCCGGACAAAGCACUUUGGGCUCGGCGAGAAGGGACGCGCGGGAGCGCUGGCUCGGAAACAGUGAUCUCCGGUGCCCAAGGGCGCCCGCCCGGCGCACGGACCUCUGAGGGCAUUCGGGCUGAAUUUGAUUUAUCCUUUUGGGAUCCAGCCGCAUUAGACACGAGUGACCUUUUAAAUCUACGCCCACUCUUUACCUGCGAGAGGACUGCAGCAGGCGAGUUCCGGAAGGCUGACUGCCCAGAUCCCGGCCCCGGCCCGCGGCAGCGGCCCCCGCGGCACGCCCGGCCGGGCUGCGCCUGGACUCCGUGAGCAAGGAAAAAGCCUGGAUCCGAAAGGAUGGGGGAGAACAAAGAGCCUUUGGAAGACGUCGCUGUUAUCUCAUUGUCUGUGUGAUUGGGGAGCUGCGAGACGGCCCAGGCCCAGAUCUCUGUUUAAGCGGAAAGAAAUUGAUCCUUUAACAAAGACAAAGAAUGGAGUCCUCUGGGGGCAGCUGCACAGCAUUCUCCCUAGGACAGAUGGAGCCUCCCCUCCACAUCUACUCUGUGGGUGGUUUUAAAGCCCCAUGAGUCAACACGGGCUGAGGUUUGUGCUGGUGCUGUGUGUGUUUGAGGCUUGCCUGGCUGAUUCACGGUGAUGCGUAUGUCAAUAAUAACAAUUAUGAGAAUUAUGAUACCUAAUAAAGAUUUUUUUUUCUUCCAAGUCCCAC
rnacentral:lncRNA from 1 species